CCUACGGGAGGCAGCAGUGAGGAAUAUUGGUCAAUGGACGAGAGUCUGAACCAGCCAAGUAGCGUGAAGGAUGACUGCCCUAUGGGUUGUAAACUUCUUUUAUAUGGGAAUAAAACGUUCCACGUGUGGGAUUUUGUAUGUACCAUAUGAAUAAGGAUCGGCUAACUCCGUGCCAGCAGCCGCGGUAAUACGGAGGAUCCGAGCGUUAUCCGGAUUUAUUGGGGUUAAAGGGAGCGUAGGUGGAUUGUUAAGUCAGUUGUGAAAGUUUGCGGCUCAACCGUAAAAUUGCAGUUGAAACUGGCAGUCUUGAGUACAGAAGAGGUGGGCGGAAUUCGUGGUGUAGCGGUGAAAUGCUUAGAUAUCACGAAGAACUCCGAUUGCGAAGGCAGUUCACUGGACUGCAACUGACACUGAGGCUCGAAAGUGUGGGUAUCAAACAGGAUUAGAUACCCUGGUAGUC
rnacentral:rRNA from 1 species